AUUGAACGCUGGCGGCAGGCCUAACACAUGCAAGUCGAGCGGAUGAAGGGAGCUUGCUCCUGGAUUCAGCGGCGGACGGGUGAGUAAUGCCUAGGAAUCUGCCUGGUAGUGGGGGAUAACGUCCGGAAACGGGCGCUAAUACCGCAUACGUCCUGAGGGAGAAAGUGGGGGAUCUUCGGACCUCACGCUAUCAGAUGAGCCUAGGUCGGAUUAGCUAGUUGGUGGGGUAAAGGCCUACCAAGGCGACGAUCCGUAACUGGUCUGAGAGGAUGAUCAGUCACACUGGAGCUGAGACACGGUCCAGACUCCUACGGGAGGCAGCAGUGGGGAAUAUUGGACAGAGGGCGAAAGCCUGAUCCAGCCAUGCCGCGUGUGUGAAGAAGGGCUGCGGAUUGUAAAGCACUUUAAGUUGGGAGGAAGGGCAGUAAGUUAAUACAUGGCUGUUUUGACGUUACCAACAGAAUAAGCACCGGCUAACUGCGU
rnacentral:rRNA from 1 species